GAGGAGGCCGUGCUGCAUGCCAGAAGCUGGAGGCUCAGCUCAGAAGCUGUGACGUCGCACCACGGGAUCUAUGACGUCACGACAUCGCGAUGCGCCCCGGGUUGAACCUAUUUUGGCAACCUGGACUUUGAAUAGCUCUGGAGUGAGGACCAGAAGCUACCACAGGAAAAAGCAAGCACCUACUGUCUGGGAUGCUUGUCUUGUUGACUCUGAUAAUCUUGUCAAAGUUAAGGAAUCUCUGAAAAACUGCA